rnacentral:lncRNA from 1 species
AUACUUGGAGGCCAUGUCACCUGAGAGUCAAUGGGCAACGAUCAAAUUUCACCUUGAGCAGAUUCUUUUGUUUGCUUUUUAGUCACAAAUAGCUUGGCCCUAAGUGGUGGCUCCCAUUCUUGUAAGAUGCGUUUAUUCAUCGUGUAAUCACCAGUUCCCUGUAGUGGGGGCGUGGAUGGAGUGUCAGAGGCUCCUGCUGGUCUUUAGGGUGUCUGGCCUCCAGGAAUCCUAGAGUAAAUUGGGAACUACAGCACUCGAUGUUAGAGUUGUCGUGAAGAUUAAAGAAGGUGACGACUGGACAACUCCCAGCCCAAUACCUGAAACUGUACCAGCACCCAGUGAGCACUGCUAUUCCUGUGACUGCUGCACAUUUGCCUUAUCUCAGCAGUAUGCCUGUGUCACUUUUUUGGCACUCUUUUCUCAUGGGUACAUUCAGAGAAGAGGAAUGUUUGUUCACUGGUGAAGAGAACAUCCCGUGUACUAUCGUGUAGAAGUUGUAGUAGACGCUGUGGUCUUUCCAACAACAAACAAAUGAUGUUUAAGGCAAAUGUGCCCAGGAUGGACACAGCCGGAUGGACGUGAAAGCCUCCAGAGCCCAGAGUAUGAGAAACAGCGUUCCCGUGUGGGCAGCAGGUUCACAGAAGACAGAACAGAUGCCUGAAGGGGAAAGGGCAGAACCCUCCAGAAAGGGCUGGAAUCGCAGGAAAAGACCUCUUGGAUUCCUGCCUCAACUGCUUACAAUUCCAAUUUGGUUUUUUUUGUUUUUUUUUCUUUACAGCUGGGGGUGGAGGAGAUAAAAAUGCUAAAUGAAGCUGAAAA